rnacentral:lncRNA from 1 species
UUAGAAUCUUUACUGUUUAUAUGAGUUUAUUAUGUGAUAUGUAUAGCGAGAACAUCAAGAUUUGUUUCUCUUGUCUAGAGGAGGAGAGAUCUUUUGUAUAGCUUUGUUGUACCUUUUUUAUUACCUUCAUACUUUCAACAUAACUGUUAAGUUUCAAGCCACUUUCGUCGGGUCGGAUUGAUUUCAAUAUUCGGUUGGGCAGCCUGUGUUUAGGUUCCGGUAUCAUGUUGAGUUUCCAUAAAGUUCCAACUUAAAAUCAAUUGGCGAUAAAGUGAAUUAACACAGUUUAUGUAUAUAUUACUUAUGUCCUGUUGAUCAUAAAACUCCUUAUGUAGAAACUUAUAUACUCACAAUAACACAUAGACAUCAAGCUCGAGAGUAGUGGCAUGGACAUGGACUUUACACCAAAUGCUGUAACCUUGUCAGAGGAUCGAGUAUCUAAGUGAAAGCAACACAAGAUCUUCAGUUGAACAGAUGGAGAGAAUGUUCACUUCACCACCUAUGCAGCAAUAAUCCAUCUUCUAAGUUAUACAAAAUGGCACAAACACAAUGAGUAUAUUAUGAAUAAUCCAUUCCUCGCAUAUUGUAUAAUUAGUAGAAACUUACAAUCGCAGGCAUGAAAUAACAUAAACAAAUAGAGCAACACCAUUCAGGUUUGGAAGUGAGACUUUCAUGUCUAUUGUGAGAAAUAAAAAGCCUAUUUUCACGAAUUUACACAAACCGGAUUCAAACAAAAACAAAUGAAAUAAGUGAUAUGAUGAAGAAGCGUGGCAUCAGAUUGGAGGACAUCAAUAAGGAUUGUUCCUGUGAGGAGUUUGAGGGGCAGAGCGAGGAGGAUUGAGGAGAGGCUGAAGAGCCUUCACCACUAUGCUCAUGUUUGGCCUGAAGUCUGCUUCGUAUUGCACACAUAACGCAGCUACAGCAGCCAGCUGAUCAAUACGACAAUAUCAUACAAGAGAGAAACCCAAAAUCAAACUCAAAAAAUUCAGACAUCAAUGCUUAGGUUCUAUAGAUAUCAGAAGAGAUCUUGUCUUUCAAUCUAGGCCUACAAUAGCUGUUGUUGCUUAUUGCGGGGAUGGAGAAGCAGUUUCUAAGUUAUGUCCUAAGGUAAAUCUUCUCUACUGAAACAAUGACAUUAUGACAAAAGGUUACCUUGGCAACAGCUUUGGGAGGAUAUUCUCCGUUUAGUCUUGCAUCAACGCAUUGCUUCACCUUGUCUUCACUCAGUUUAGGAGUUGCCUGCGACACACAUUAUGAUGAUCAAUAUGAGUAAACCAGAAAAAAGAAGAAGAGUUAAACUAAGCAUUACCCAUGUAACGAGACUCUGCUGUCCUCGUGGUAAGGUAUGAUCAACUGGCUUACGACCUGUAAGGAGCUCUAGCAGAACAACUCCAAAACUAUAGACAUCACUCUUUGUGCUCAAUGUCCCUGUCAUUGCAUACCUGAAAAUGCAGAACCAAAAAAAAAUCUUUGUGUUUAAGACUCUAGUAUGGUCAAUUAGAAGAGAUGCAAUGCAAAAUAAUGUCAAAGAUUAUUCCAAGGAAGGACUUAGUGCCUCAAAACAUAAGAUAAUAAUAACCAAAAGUCUCUGAGCACAAGUUGAAUGUAACCACAUUGAUUAGUCUGAACAAAAACAAUUCAAAUAAACAAGUAAAGGGCUUACUCUGGAGCGUGAUAACCAAACGUUCCCAGCACACGAGUUGAGUGAAGGCGAGCAGCCAUGUCAGGGGCUUGGUUGGAGAGAUCAAAAUCAGCAAUCUUGGCAACCACUUCAUCCAACUCCUCCCCAUAACCGAAACCCCUCGCCAUCAAGAUGAAAUCAAAGACAUAAGCGUUGAUCACGUCUCAUCACACAACAACAAUGGCACACCUCUAGAUGAGAAGUUCAGCGAGAGAAACAUUGAAAAUGGUGAUAAUAAUAACUAUGAGAAACAUGUUCCUACUUCAGAAACAACUCAUUCUCCUCAUCUCUCUGGUCUUCAAGAAGGCUCUCACAUUGGUUGGGGUCACUGGUUCACUCUCCGCGACCUUCAGCUGGCGACUAACCACUUCUCAAAAGAGAAUAUCAUCGGUGACGGUGGCUAUGGAGUUGUCUACCAUGGAACUUUAACUAACAAGACCCCUGUGGCUGUCAAGAAGCUGCUCAACAAUCCGUAAGUUUCUUUUUAUCUCUUCAAAUGCUCAUAUGAUCUUUGAGUUUGAUAUGAUUGUUUUUUUUUUAACAAUUAGAGGACAAGUUGAUAAAGACUUCAGAGUUGAAGUGGAAGCAAUAGGACACGUCAGGCACAAGAACUUAGUUCGGCUUCUUGGAUACUGCGUUGAAGGAACGCAUAGGAUGCUUGUUUAUGAGUACAUGAACAAUGGGAACUUAGAGCAGUGGCUUCAUGGAGACAUGAGUCACCAAGGUCAUCUCACCUGGGAGGCUAGAAUCAAAGUUCUUGUUGGCACUGCUAAAGCGUAAGCUUCCUUUCUUUUUUGGAAAAAACACACUUGAUGGUUCUUGGAAGCUCAUGAGAAUGUGUUCAUUUACACAGGUUGGCUUACCUUCAUGAAGCUAUUGAGCCUAAAGUGGUGCAUAGAGACAUUAAGUCAAGUAAUAUACUGAUGAAUGACAGCUUUGAUGCUAAGUUAUCUGACUUUGGUCUUGCUAAGUUGCUUGGAGCUGAUAAGAAUUAUGUGAGUACUAGAGUCAUGGGUACAUUCGGGUGAGUUAUACAAACUUUACAUUUUCAUAAUCUCCAUUGGUUACUUUUAAUAAUUUUCUCUCUUCAUGUUUAGGUAUGUUGCACCUGAAUAUGCUAACUCUGGUCUCCUAAACGAGAAGAGUGACGUGUAUAGUUUUGGUGUUGUUCUAUUGGAAGCUAUUACUGGGAGGUACCCAGUGGAUUAUGAACGGCCUAAAGAAGAGGUAAAGGAAUAGAUUUAUAUGCUUGACACAAUGAAGAUUAAGAGAUUGAAAGUUGAUUUGUUUUUGUUAUAGGUGCAUAUGGUGGAGUGGUUGAAGCUAAUGGUACAGCAGAAACAGUUUGAACAAGUGGUGGAUAAAGAGCUUGAGAUCAAACCAACGACAAGCGAACUUAAAAGAGCGCUUUUGACGGCUUUGAGAUGUGUUGAUCCUGAUGCAGACAAGAGGCCGAAGAUGAGUCAAGUUGCUCGGAUGCUUGAAUCUGAUGAGUACCCUGUGAUGCCUAGAGAGGUAUGUAGAAUGAUAACAUUUCAAAGUUCAGAGUUCAGACAGGAAAGAAACAAAACUGGAGUGUUAAUAAUCUGUUUGAUGAAUGUUUUAUUAGGAACGAAGGAGAAGGAAGCAGCCAAGAGAAAGCACAGAUACGAAUAAGGAUGAUACCAUAGCAGAUGCAAAGAUUUAAGUAACAGACUAAAACAUCAAACCCUUUUAAUGACUUUGGGGUUUAAAAGAGGGAAACAUAUAGAUUCUUUGGAGAUUGUUUAGAAUCUUUACUGUUUAUAUGAGUUUAUUAUGUGAUAUGUAUAGCGAGAACAUCAAGAUUUGUUUCUCUUGUCUAGAGGAGGAGAGAUCUUUUGUAUAGCUUUGUUGUACCUUUUUUAUUACCUUCAUACUUUCAACAUAACUGUUAAGUUUCAAGCCACUUUCGUCGGGUCGGAUUGAUUUCAAUAUUCGGUUGGGCAG